GCAAGUCGAACGGUAGGGGGGGGCAACCCCUCGAGAGUGGCGAACGGGUGAGUAAUAUAUCGGAACGUGCCCAGUCGUGGGGGAUAACGUAGCGAAAGUUACGCUAAUACCGCAUACGAUCUACGGAUGAAAGCGGGGGAUCGCAAGACCUCGCGCGAUUGGAGCGGCCGAUAUCAGAUUAGGUAGUUGGUGGGGUAAAGGCUCACCAAGCCAACGAUCUGUAGCUGGUCUGAGGGGACGACCAGCCACACUGGAACUGAGACACGGUCCAGACUCCUACGGGAGGCAGCAGUGGGGAAUUUUGGACAAUGGACGCAAGUCUGAUCCAGCCAUUCCGCGUGCAGGAUGAAGGCCCUCGGGUUGUAAACUGCUUUUGUACGGAACGAAAAGGUUUCUAUUAAUACUAGGAGCUCAUGACGGUACCGUAAGAAUAAGCACCGGCUAACUACGUGCCAGCAGCCGCGGUAAUACGUAGGGUGCAAGCGUUAAUCGGAAUUACUGGGCGUAAAGCGUGCGCAGGCGGUUAUGUAAGACAGAGGUGAAAUCCCCGGGCUCAACCUGGGAAUGGCGUCUGUGACUGUAUGACUAGAGUGUGUCAGAGGGGGGUAGAAUUCCACGUGUAGCAGUGAAAUGCGUAGAUAUGUGGAGGAAUACCAAUGGCGAAGGCAGCCCCCUGGGAUAACACUGACGCUCAUGCACGAAAGCGUGGGGAGCAAACAGGAUUAGAUACCCUGGUAGUCCACGCCCUAAACGAUGCCGACUAGUUGUUGGGAAUUUACAUUCUCAGUAACGUAGCUAACGCGUGAAGUCGGCCGCCUGGGGAGUACGGUCGCAAGAUUAAAACUCAAAGGAAUUGACGGGGACCCGCACAAGCGGUGGAUGACGUGGAUUAAUU
rnacentral:rRNA from 1 species